CAGUAGGUGUAAAUCCUACCAGGGCAAUUGACUGUUCACCCUGAAGAAAAGCGGACAGUAAAUUUCGUGAGGAGUUCGCUGAAGCUCCGUUCUUUUUCAAAUACUCAAGCCGCAAUGCGC
rfam:Cyclobacterium marinum DSM 745, complete genome.